UACAGGGGGUGCAAACGUUGCUCGGAAUUACUGGGCGUAAAGCGCGCGCAGGCGGUUUUUCAAGUCAGUGGUGAAAGCCCGGAGCUCAACUCCGGAAAUGCCAUUGAAACUGUGAAACUUGAGGAUGAGAGAGGUGAGUGGAAUUCCCAGUGUAGAGGUGAAAUUCGUAGAUAUUGGGAAGAACACCGGUGGCGAAGGCGGCUCACUGGCUCAUUACUGACGCUCAGGCGCGACAGCGUGGGGAUCAAACAGG
rnacentral:rRNA from 1 species